rnacentral:rRNA from 1 species
UACGUAGGGGGCAAGCGUUGUCCGGAUUUAUUGGGCGUAAAGAGCGUGUAGGCGGCUAGAUAGGUCCGUUGUGAAAACUCGAGGCUCAACCUCGAGACGUCGAUGGAAACCAUCUGGCUAGAGUCCGGAAGAGGAGAGUGGAAUUCCUGGUGUAGCGGUGAAAUGCGCAGAUAUCAGGAGGAACACCUGUGGCGAAAGCGGCGCACUGGACCAUAACUGACGCUGAGGCGCGAAAGCUAGGGGAGCAAACAGG